UACACUCCUGCGGGAGGCAGCAGUGGGGAAUAUUGCACAAUGGGCGCAAGCCUGAUGCAGCCAUGCCGCGUGUAUGAAGAAGGCCUUCGGGUUGUAAAGUACUUUCAGCGGGGAGGAAGGCAAUACGGUUAAUAACCGUGUUGAUUGACGUUACCCGCAGAAGAAGCACCGGCUAACUCCGUGCCAGCAGCCGCGGUAAUACGGAGGGUGCAAGCGUUAAUCGGAAUUACUGGGCGUAAAGCGCACGCAGGCGGUCUGUCAAGUCGGAUGUGAAAUCCCCGGGCUCAACCUGGGAACUGCAUUCGAAACUGGCAGGCUUGAGUCUUGUAGAGGGGGGUAGAAUUCCAGGUGUAGCGGUGAAAUGCGUAGAGAUCUGGAGGAAUACCGGUGGCGAAGGCGGCCCCCUGGACAAAGACUGACGCUCAGGUGCGAAAGCGUGGGGAGCAAACAGGAUUAGAUACCCGGGUAGUCCCAUG
rnacentral:rRNA from 1 species